rnacentral:rRNA from 1 species
UACGUAGGGUGCAAGCGUUGUCCGGAAUUACUGGGCGUAAAGGGCGCGUAGGCGGCCAACUAAGUCAGACGUGAAAUCCCCCUGGCUCAACCAGGGAACUGCGUCUGAUACUGGAUGGCUUGAAUCCGGGAGAGGGAUGUGGAAUUCCAGGUGUAGCGGUGAAAUGCGUAGAUAUCAGGAGGAACACCGGUGGCGAAGGCGGUUCUCUGGGAAUAAUCCUGACGCUGGAGGAGCGAAAGUGUGGGGAGCGAACAGG